rfam:Xenopus tropicalis small nuclear ribonucleoprotein polypeptide A, mRNA (cDNA clone MGC:69531 IMAGE:5336589), complete cds.
CUUUUAAGCAUUGCACCCAGAGUCUGCAAGUCAGGCAUUGUACCUGGAGCUUUUUUCUUUUCUUUGCAAUAAACU